UACGAAGGGGGGCUAGCGUUGUUCGGAAUUACUGGGCGUAAAGCGUGCGCAGGCGGCUGCUCAAGUCAGGGGUGAAAGCCCAGAGCUCAACUCUGGAAUUGCCUUUGAGACUGAGUGGCUUGAGUACGGGAGAGGUGAGUGGAAUUCCCAGUGUAGAGGUGAAAUUCGUAGAUAUUCGGAGGAACACCAGUGGCGAAGGCGGCUCACUGGUCCAUUACUGACGCUGAGGUGCGAAAGCGUGGGGAGCAAACAGG
rnacentral:rRNA from 1 species